rnacentral:rRNA from 1 species
GAUGAACGCUAGCUACAGGCUUAACACAUGCAAGUCGAGGGGUAACGAGAGGAAAGCUUGCUUUCCUUGUUGACGACCGGCGCACGGGUGAGUAACGCGUAUCCAACCUGCCCCCAACUAGGGAAUAACCUUGCGAAAGUAGGACUAAUACCCUAUAAUUUCCUCAGAUGUCAUCUGACGAGGAAUAAAGAUUUAUCGGUUGGGGAUGGGGAUGCGUCUGAUUAGCUUGUUGGCGGGGUAACGGCCCACCAAGGCAACGAUCAGUAGGGGUUCUGAGAGGAAGGUCCCCCACAUUGGAACUGAGACACGGUCCAAACUCCUACGGGAGGCAGCAGUGAGGAAUAUUGGUCAAUGGGCGGAAGCCUGAACCAGCCAAGUAGCGUGCAGGAUGACGGCCCUAUGGGUUGUAAACUGCUUUUAUACAGGAAUAAAGUUAGCCACGUGUGGUUAUUUGUAGGUACUGUAUGAAUAAGGACCGGCUAAUUCCGUGCCAGCCGCCGCCGUAA